rnacentral:rRNA from 1 species
AGUGAACGCUGGCGGUAGGCCUGACACAUGCAAGUCGAACGGCAGCACAGUAAGAGCUUGCUCUUACGGGUGGCGAGUGGCGGACGGGUGAGGAAUACAUCGGAAUCUACUUUUUCGUGGGGGAUAACGUAGGGAAACUUACGCUAAUACCGCAUACGACCUACGGGUGAAAGCAGGGGAUCUUCGGAACUUGCGCGAUUGAAUGAGCCGAUGUCGGAUUAGCUAGUUGGCGGGGUAAAAGCCCACCAAGGCGACGAUCCGUAGCUGGUCUGGGAGGAUGAUCAGCCACACUGGAACUGAGACACGGUCCAGACUCCUACGGGAGGCAGCAGUGGGGAAUAUUGGACAAUGGGCGCAAGCCUGAUCCAGCCAUACCGCGUGGGUGAAGAAGGCCUUCGGGUUGUAAAGCCCUUUUGUUGGGAAAGAAAAGCAGCAGGUUAAUACCCCGCUGUUCUGACGGUACCCAAAGAAUAAGCACCGGCUAACUUCGUG